GAAGGGCAGACAGCUUGUCACAGAGGGGAAAUGCAAUGGCAGCAGCUUUGUGUCAGAGGGCUGUUCACACGGUAGUAGAUAAAAGUGGAGAACAUGGCUGGAAUCUUCACAAGAUUGCUCCUAGUGAUCUACUUCUGCCAGGCCUCACACGAAAGAAGAAAAAAAACUAUCUUGCUUUUGGGAAGAAAACCAACUAAACCAAAAAACCCGUCAAGCUUAGUGGCUCGUGUGCACGAUUCCCUCCUGACAGGAGCUGAGUACUCAGCAGCCCUGAGCCCAAGCUGAAUCGGAAGUGUCAGCAAACCCCUGCAGACACAGGGAACUGCAAACUGCUUUUUCUGAUGUCAGGACUUCUCCUCAGGGAGCUCACUCUGCUGCAUUUGCUCAUGGCCAGAAGACUCAUCCGGCAGGAGAAAGGUGGGAAAAGGUUCUAGUUCCCCAUUUCUUCUCACUGCUUCAGAUAUCAACCUCAUACAGUCAGCCUGACACUGGAGGGGCCUCUAGGAGCAGCAUGGCUGACAUAGGAAGCAUCCUUCUUACUGGAACUAAGUAAAAAUCUACAAUAUAGAUAAG
rnacentral:lncRNA from 1 species